rfam:Triticum aestivum genome assembly, contig: Triticum_aestivum_CS42_TGACv1_scaffold_569281_7AS
UAAAUACUCCCUUCGUCGUAAAUUACUUGUCGUAGAAAUGGAUAGAAGUAGAUGUAUCUAGAACUAAAAUACGUCUAGAUACAUUCCCUUAUGUGACAAAUAAUUUGGGAUGGAGGGAGUAAUAA